GCCAAUGCUAGCCCUAAGCACAACCAACACUAAUACCAAGCCAACACACACUAAACCAUUUACCUACACAAAGUAUAGGCGAUAGAAAUUUUAAUCUGGCGCUAUAGACACAGUACCGUAAGGGAAAGAUAGAAAACCACCCAAGCACAAAACAGCAAGGACUAACCCCUGUACCUUUCGCAUAAUGAAUUAGCUAGAAACAAUUUCACAAAGAGGACUACAAGCCAAAUCCCCCGAAACCAGACGAGCUACCCAAAAACAGCUAAAAGAGCGCACCCAUCUAUGUGGCAAAAUAGUGGGAAGAUUUCUGGGUAGAGGUGAAAAGCCUACCGAGCCUGGUGAUAGCUGGUUAUCCAAGACAGAAUCUUAGUUCAACCUUAAGCUUACCUAUAGAACUACCUAAUCCCCCUGUAAGCUUAACUGCUAGUCUAAAGAGGGACAGCUCUUUAGACACUAGGAAAAAACCUUACGGAGAGAGUAAAGCCCUCAAUCGCCAUAGUUGGCUUAAAAGCAGCCAUCAAUUAAGAAAGCGUUCAAGCUCAACACUAACCACCACAAAAAUACCAAACACAUAACUGAACUCCUCACACCACAUUGGAUUAAUCUAUCACCAUAUAGAAGCAAUAAUGCUAGUAUAAGUAACAUGAAUAUUUUCUCCACCGCAUAAGCCUAAAUCGGACCGAAAGCCUCACCGAUAUCUAACAGCCAGGCAUAACAAGCACAAACAAGCCCAUGCCACCUUCACUGUUAACCCAACACAGGCAUGCCUCAAGGAAAGGUUAAAAAAAGUAAAAGGAACUCGGCAAACUCAAACCCCGCCUGUUUACCAAAAACAUCACCUCUAGCAUUACUAGUAUUAGAGGCACUGCCUGCCCAGUGACACACGUUUAACGGCCGCGGUACCCUGAC
rnacentral:rRNA from 1 species